GAUAACGCUGGCCGGCGGCGACAUAAGACAGUGCAAGUCGAACGGACUUAAUCGGAAAUAGUUUAUAAGUUUUGAAGCGGUUAGUGGCGGACUGGUGAGUAACGCGUAAGGAACCUACCUAUUAGAGGGGAAUAACAGUGAGAAAUCAUUGCUAAUACCGCAUAUGCCAUGAACAUCACAUGAUGAAAAUGGGAAAAGAGUAAUCUGCUAGUAGAUGGGCUCGCGUCUGAUUAGAUAGUUGGUGGGGUAACGGCCUACCAAGUCGACGAUCAGUAGCCGGACUGAGAGGUUGAACGGCCACAUUGGGACUGAGAUACGGCCCAG
rnacentral:rRNA from 1 species